AUCCAUCUGACGAGUCCCGAAUAGGACGAAAUGCGCAUUAUCCUGGAU
rnacentral:hammerhead_ribozyme from 1 species